rnacentral:rRNA from 1 species
GCAUCGGUGAUAUCUUUCAGAGAGUUCAGAUUCUGGCUCAGAUUGAACGCUGGCGGAUCUGCCACUAUGCAAGUCGAACGGCAGCACACGGACUUCGGUCUGGUGGCGAGUGGCGAACGGGUGAGUAAUGUAUCGGAACGUGCUAGUAGCGGGGGAUAACUACGCGAAAGCGUAGCUAAUACCGCAUACGCCCUUCGGGGAAAGCGGGGGACCUUCGGGCGCUCCACCACUAUUGAAGCGGCCGAUAUCGGAUUAGCUAGUUGGUGGGAGUAAUGGCUCACCAAGGCGACGAUCCGUAGCUGGUUUGAAGGGGAUGACCAGCCACACUGGGACUGAGACACGGCCCAGACUCCUACGGGAGGCAGCAGUAGGGAAUUUUGGAACCAAUGGGGGAAACCCUGAUCCAGCCAUCCCGCGUGCGAUGAAAGAAGCCUUCGGGUUAUAAGCUUACUUUUGGCGGAAAGAAACGGCACGCGAUCAUACCCCGUGCAACUGACGGUACCUGCAGAAUAAGCACCGGCCCAACUACGUGCCAACAGCCAUGAUGACCGUAGUGCAAGCGUUAAUCGGAAUUACUGGGCGUAAAGCGUGCGCAGGCGGUUCGGAAAAGAAGUGCUGAAAUCCCAGAGCUUAACUUUGGAACUCACCCGUACAAUACCGAGCUAGAGUGUGUCAGAGUGGAAUUCCGCGUGUAAGCAGUGAAAUGCGUAGAUAUGCGGAGGAACACACCGAUGGCGAAGGCAGCCUCCUGGGAUAACACUGACGCUCAUGCACGAAAGCGUGGGGGCAGCAGGAUUGAUACCUGAUCGUCCACGCCUGACGAUGUCAACUAGCUGUUGGGGCCUUCGGGCCUUGGUAGCGCAACUAACUUGCUGAAGUUGACCGCCUGAAGAGUACGGUCGCGAGAUUAAAACUCAAAGGAAUUGACGGGGACCCGCACAAGCAGUGGAUGAUGUGGAUUAAUUCGAUGCAACACUGAAAAACCCUGCUACCUACCCUUGACAUGUCUGGAAUCCCGAAGAGAUUUGGAGUAUCGCAAAGGCAGGAACACAGGUGCUGCAUGGCUGUCGUCAGCUCGUGUCGUGAGAUGUUGGGUUAAGUCCGCAACGAGCGCAACCCUUGUCAUUGAAUUGCUACGAAAGGGCACUCUAAUGAGACUGCCGGUGACAAACCGGAGGAAGGUGAGGAUGACGUCAGAGUCCUCAUGGCCCUUAUGGGUAGGGCUUCACACGUCAUACAAUGGUCGGGACAGAGGGUCGCCAACCCGCGAGGGGAGCCAAUCCCAGAAACCCGAUCGUAGUCCGGAUCGCAGUCUGCAACUCGACUGCGUGAAGUCGGAAUCGCCGUAAUCGCGGAUCAGCAUGUCGCGGUGAAUACGUUCCCGGGUCUUUGUACACCGCCCGUCACACCAUGGGAGUGGGUUUUACCGUGGUUAGCUCAAUAACGGAGGCGAUUCACCGGUAGGAUUCAUGACUGGGGUGAAGUCGUAACAAAGAUAA